rnacentral:rRNA from 1 species
UACGUAGGUCCCUAGCGUUGUCCGGAUUUAUUGGGCGUAAAGCGAGCGCAGGUGGUUUAUUAAGUCUGGUGUAAAAGGCAGUGGCUCAACCAUUGUAUGCAUUGGAAACUGGUAGACUUGAGUGCAGGAGAGGAGAGUGGAAUUCCAUGUGUAGCGGUGAAAUGCGUAGAUAUAUGGAGGAACACCGGUGGCGAAAGCGGCUCUCUGGCCUGUAACUGACACUGAGGCUCGAAAUCGUGGGGAGCAAACAGG